UACAGGGGGGUGCAAACGUUGCUCGGAAUUAUUGGGCGUAAAGCGCACGUAGGCGGCUUAGCAAGUCGGAAGUGAAAGCCCUCGGCUCAACCAAGGAAGUGCUUUCGAAACUGCUGAGCUUGAGUACUUAAGAGGAUCGCGGAAUUCCCGGUGUAGAGGUGAAAUUCGUAGAUAUCGGGGAGGAACACCAGUGGCGAAGGCGGCGAUCUGGGAAGAUACUGACGCUGAGGUGCGAAAGCGUGGGGAGCAAACAGG
rnacentral:rRNA from 1 species